UCGAAGAAGGAACAGAUAGUGACUAAUGCUUAGUAACAUGUGUUGUUGUAUCUUUAUUGUAUUUUGCUUAAUAUUUGGGUGUAAAAAUUUUCUGAUGGAUGGUUGAGUGUUUUGAUUUGCACCACAGUUUUUCUUUAUUGUUUUCUUUAACCUAUUUUACCACUUUCAUCAUUACUUACUGAAUCUUGUAGUGUACUAUGCGACUAUGUUGUUUGAUAAAUGCCAUUAUAGUUUUAGUUCAACCUUUGAUAGAAUCCUCCUGAUGUUAUUUAUAUUACAGAUACGUAGUGGACAGCUGGUCAGAAUUCAUUGACGUGCUACUCAUUGAAGGUUCUGCAUUUUAGCUGCUGUUGUUGAGUUAUGGCUCGAGGCAGAGGUCGAGGUAGCGGAGGUCGUGUAGGAAAGUCCUCAUUAAGGUGUGAUUCUACUGGUCGUGCAAACAUGCCUACCAUUCCCAUUCCCACCACAGUUAGUCCUAACAAGGUGAUACGAGUUUCAUAGGUGGGCCAGAUCCUAUAAACCAAGUUCAAACUUUACGUACGCCACCGGUUCAAGCCUCAGAUAUCGCUCGAGGAAAAGGUCGAGGUAGCGAAGGUCGUGUAGGAAAGUCCUCACUUGGGGGUGAUUCUGCUCGUCAUGCAAACAUGCCUACUAUUCCUAUUCCCACCACAGUUAGUCCUCAACAAGGUGGUACGAGUUCCAUAGGUGGGCCAGAUCCUAUAAACCAUGUUCAAACUUUAGGUACGCCACCGGUUCAAGCGUCAGAUCACGGUAGUAACCCAACCAUCCCUGAAUUAUCUCCCAUUACACCUGAUCUGAGCAGCCCAGUAGAUGAGGGUACAUCAAACCAUAGCAACACUGUCAGCGAAGAAGAGUCCAGUAGUCGUUGUAGGCAGCGGAC